UACGUAGGGGGCAAGCGUUGUCCGGAUUUAUUGGGCGUAAAGAGCGUGUAGGCGGCCAGGUAGGUCCGUUGUGAAAACUCGAGGCUCAACCUCGAGACGUCGGCGGAAACCCUCUGGCUAGAGUCCGGAAGAGGAGAGUGGAAUUCCUGGUGUAGCGGUGAAAUGCGCAGAUAUCAGGAAGAACACCCGUGGCGAAGGCGGCUCUCUGGGACGGUACUGACGCUGAGGCACGAAGGUCAGGGGAGCAAACGGG
rnacentral:rRNA from 1 species